GGCGACCGGCGCACGGGUGCGUAACGCGUAUCGAACCUGCCUCAUACUCGGGGAUAGCCUUGCGAAAGUAAGAUUAAUACCCGGCGGUCUCGGACGGCCGCAUGACAGUCCGAGUGAAGAUUUAUCGGUAUGAGAUGGCGAUGCGUCCCAUUAGCUUGUUGGUGAGGUAACGGCUCACCAAGGCAUCGAUGGGUAGGGGUUCUGAGAGGAAGGUCCCCUACAUUGGAACUGAGACACGGCCCAAACUCCUACGGGAGGCAGCAGUGAGGAAUAUUGGUCAAUGGACGCAAGUCUGAACCAGCCAAGUAGCGUGCAGGAUGACGGCCCUCUGGGUUGUAAACUGCUUUUAGUUGGGAAUAAAAAGAGGGACGUGUCCCUUAUUGUAUGUACCAUCAGAAAAAGGACCGGCUAAUUCCGUGCCAGCAGCCGCGGUAAUACGGAAGGUCCAGGCGUUAUCCGGAUUUAUUGGGUUUAAAGGGAGCGCAGGCGGCGGCGUAAGUCAGUUGUGAAAUCGUGCGGCUUAACCGUGCAAUUGCAGUUGAUACUGCGUCGCUUGAGUGCACACAGGGAUGUUGGAAUUCAUGGUGUAGCGGUGAAAUGCUUAGAUAUCAUGAAGAACUCCGAUCGCGAAGGCAUAUGUCCGGAGUGCAACUGACGCUGAGGCUCGAAAGUGUGGGUAUCAAACAGGAUUAGAUACCCUGGUAGUCCACACAGUAAACGAUGAAUACUCGCGGUUGGUUCGUUAGAUUCAGCCGCCAAGCGAAAGCGUUAAGUAUUCCACGUGGGGAGUAUGCCGGCAA
rnacentral:rRNA from 1 species